GCCUGGGUGGCGAAAUGGUAGACGCAUCAGACUCAAAAUCUGACGGAGAAAUCCAUAAGGGUUCAAGUCCCUUCCUAGGUA
rnacentral:tRNA from 1 species